rnacentral:rRNA from 1 species
ACCUUUUAUCUUACUUUUUUUGUUAAUUUUAUUGUAGGAGAAAUAUCUUUUUUUUUAGUAUAAGUAAAGAACAAAGUUUUUAUUGUUAUAGUGUAUUAGUACUGUAAAGGAAUAUUGGUGAAAUAUUUUGAAAAUAUAAGUUUUAUAAAGUAGAUUUUGUUUUUCGUACCUUUUGUAUCAGGGUUAAUUAAAUAUAUUUAAUUUAUUUUAUUUUCUCGAUUUCAGAAGAGCUAAUUUUAAAUUAUUGUUGUUGUAGCAUAACCAUAUUUAAUUUAAUUUUGGAGGAGAUAUUUUACUCGAUUUUGAAGGUAUCUAGUUUUUUAAGAAAUAAAUUUAAUUUAGACUUAAUUAUUAAGUAAUUUAUUUAUUAAUUAUUUAUUAAUUGGGAUUAAAAUAUUAGGGGAUAAGCUCUAGUAUUAUUCUAAAAAUUUUUGUUUUAUUUAAUUUUUGUAGGCUUUAAAUCAGCUAUCAUCAAGAGUUCGUUGUAGAUCAAAUAAAUAGGAUUGUGAUUUUCUUUAUUUUAGUAUUUUAUUAAAAUGAUAUUUUUAAUUUUAUAAAGUUUUUAAUAAUGAUUAAAUUAGUAUAUUUUUAUUGUAUAUCAUUAAUUUUUUGGUAUAAUUAAAUAAGGAAUUCGGCAAAUUUAACGCUCGCCUGUUUAUCAAAAACAUGUCCUCUUGUUUAUAUAUGAGGUCUGACCUGCCCGGUGAAAGUUAUUUUAACGGCCGCAGUAUUUUGACUGUGCAAAGGUAGCAUAAUCAUUAGUCUUUUAAUAGGGGGCUGGUAUGAAGGGUUUGACGAGGUGUUAACUGUCUCAUUUAAUUUGUAUUUAGAAUUUAACUUUUCAGUUAAAAGGCUGAAAUUGUAUUGGAAGACGAGAAGACCCUAUAGAGCUUUAUAAUUAGUAUUUUAAUUGUUUUUUGUAAUAUAAAUUAUGAUUAUAAUUUUAAUUAUUUUGUUGGGGUGACAAAAAUAUAUAUUUAACUUUUUUAUUUAAUUGACAUUGAUUUAUGAAUGUUAGAUCCAGUCUUAUUGAUUGUUAGAUUAAGUUACCUUAGGGAUAACAGCGUAAUCUUCCUCCAGAGUUCAUAUUUACGGGAAGGCUUGCGACCUCGAUGUUGGAUUAAGAUAAUAAGUUAGGUGUAGCCGCUUAAUGUAUAAGUCUGUUCGACCUUUAAAUUCUUACAU